GUGGGCAGAGUUGAGCAAGGGGCAGAGGCCAAGCCAACACAAAUCUGAUCCAAAACAGCCCAUGCCAAGGUAAACACACAGUGAGCAGGAUGGAAGCUGAAGAUGCAAAUACAGACAGAUUAUAGUUGUUUGACAUGUAUCCCUUCCCAUCUGAUUCCCAACCUGGAGAAUGAACCGUUGCAAUCUGCUCAGAAAGGAGUGUCACUAGCUGAGAAAAGAAAACAAGAGACCUCCCUUCAUUUAUGGAGGGAUUUGGUAGGAAAUAUAUUUUUUUCAAAAUGGCCAACUACAAGAUGACAAACAUAAUAAGGAUAAUGCAGUACACUGAACUAUUGGAUAGUUAUGCCUUUUAAACUAUGUACCGCAUCCAUAUACGUUAGAUCUUUGCCUGAAUUUAUAUGCUCUACAGAUGUUCCAGGAGUCCUUCAGCAAAGCGUCUUUGUGAAGAAUGCACAACUCCAGCCAUAUAUGUACAUGUCAAGUUGUCCUGGAAGACAUCUGGCCUCCUUGAGUUUUGACAGUAUUCCCCAAGUCUGAGUAUGUUUUUUUCCAGCAGGACAAUAGCCAAAUGAACAUGUGGAUGUAGGACAGCAAAGCCAGCCUAUCCUAGCUUCCAGAUCUGAUCCCUACUGAAAAGUGAUACAAAAGAAAAAUGGCCACAAGCCAGCAAGCAAAAUUGAGCUAACUGAUUAUUAUUUUUUGUGCCACGUGACAAAGCCACCUAGAGCGUACUGUAAUUUAAAAAUAUGAUUUUCCAUUUAAUAUUGUAUUGAUUUAAAACUAAAACAUUAGCAUUUAGUUUUUAAAAUGGUUCCACCCACAUUGCCAGAAGUGCUUUGAAAUUUUUGUAAAUUAAGAUUUAGUUGCAGUGAGAACACAAUCCUCAGUAACACAGGCAGACAGUUUAGUGUAUGAUUUAGUUUGCUUGGUGAAAAAGUAAACUCAAUCAAUAGUUGACAUAAGUCAGCGUAUAGACUUCUUGCAGAGAGUAACUCAUUUUCUUGCUUGGCCCUUUCAUUCCCCAUCAUAUUUUAUGAGGUGUGGCGGCUCCAAUUGCCUCGAGACUUUCUAUGCUUUGACAGUAUCUGAAUGGAGACAACACCAAGGUCAUGUCAGCGCUGCAAACGUGACCGUCGGUGCAUCCACCCACUGAGAUUGUGGGAAGACAAGAUGGACACUUGGACAAAGCAGGUGGGGUGCCAGACGGACAGACUGGUGGCCAUGAUAUCUUGUCACAGUCCUUCAAAAGAUGCAGCACCAACGCAUCCCAGCCCCACUCUCCAUGCGUCACAGUGUUUUUGGGAAUUGAAAGAGUGAGUGCUACCUAUUCAGCACAACCAAAGUAACAAAGAACAGGCUUGGAUGUGGCAGUAUAGAGCGCCCGAAGGAGAGGGAUGAGAUGAUACAAAAUAUGGCAACGUGUGAUUGAGCAACCAGAGCUUAAACCAGGCCAUGCACAGCUCUGUGAAAGGACCAUAGCAUCUGCCAACAUGAGGGACCCCAUGAUAGUCAUAACACCGGCCUUCCUAUGUGGAGAUUCUAUAUGCUCGAGUGGGCUUUCUUCAGGUACUUUUCUUUCCUUGUACAUUCUGAAAACGUGUUAAUUGGAAAGACAAAACUGUCCCUUGGCGUGGAUGUACGUGUGACUGGUCGGUCUAUAUGUGUCAUGCAGUUCAGACUGCACCCCGCCUCUCCUGCAAAGUCAGCUGGGAUUGGCUGUAGCAAACCCAAGACCCUA